UCCCAGUUCGGAUUGUAGUCUGCAACCCGACUACAUGAAGCUGGAAUCGCUAGUAAUCGCGGAUCAGAAUGCCGCGGUGAAUACGUUCCCGGGUCUUGUACACACCGCCCGUCACACCAUGGGAGUCGGAAAUGCCCGAAGUCUGUGACCCAACCAUUAAGGAGGGAGCAGCCGAAGGCAGGUCGGAUGACUGGGGUGAAGUCGUAACAAGGUACC
rnacentral:rRNA from 1 species